UACGUAGGGUGCAAGCGUUGUCCGGAUUUAUUGGGCGUAAAGAGCGUGUAGGCGGCCAGGUAGGUCCGUUGUGAAAACUCGAGGCUCAACCUCGAGACGUCGGCGGAAACCCUCUGGCUAGAGUCCGGAAGAGGAGAGUGGAAUUCCUGGUGUAGCGGUGAAAUGCGCAGAUAUCAGGAGGAACACCAAUGGCGAAGGCAGCUCGCUGGGACGGUACUGACGCUAAGGCGCGAAAGCGUGGGGAGCAAACAGG
rnacentral:rRNA from 1 species